rnacentral:rRNA from 1 species
AUUGAACGCUGGCGGCAGGCCUAACACAUGCAAGUCGAGCGGUAGAGAGAAGCUUGCUUCUCUUGAGAGCGGCGGACGGGUGAGUAAUGCCUAGGAAUCUGCCUGGUAGUGGGGGAUAACGUUCGGAAACGGACGCUAAUACCGCAUACGUCCUACGGGAGAAAGCAGGGGACCUUCGGGCCUUGCGCUAUCAGAUGAGCCUAGGUCGGAUUAGCUAGUUGGUGAGGUAAUGGCUCACCAAGGCAACGAUCCGUAACUGGUCUGAGAGGAUGAUCAGUCACACUGGAACUGAGACACGGUCCAGACUCCUACGGGAGGCAGCAGUGGGGAAUUUUGGACAAUGGGCGAAAGCCUGAUCCAGCAAUGCCGCGUGCAGGAUGAAGGCCUUCGGGUUGUAAACUGCUUUUGUACGGAACGAAAAAGCUUCUCCUAAUACGAGAGGCCCAUGACGGUACCGUAAGAAUAAGCACCGGCUAACUACGUGC